rnacentral:tRNA from 1 species
GGUAGGGGCGGAUGUAGCCAAG